AUGUCUGCCGCGGGCCUGCCUUCUAGCAGCCGAGCCCCACCUCAAAAAAGAAAAAAAAAACCAAACAAACAGCCGAGCCUUAUCCUGUCUGCUUCCCUGAGCUCGCAUUCUUCCCUGAGCCUUAUCCUAUCGAGCCCCACUCUCUACCUCUGUUGUUUCUUCUGCGGCGCUCGGUCCCCGAAAAGUACCCCGCCGACUCCCAGGCCUCAGAUCCGUUUUGGUCCUCAGCAAAGCAGGCCAAAGACUAAUCCGAGCACCUGCCUAAUCCUCAAGCCCUCUGGGUCUAUCUCCUGAAACCAUCCUCAUGGAAUUGGUUGAGCUGUCCACCACAUAUUUGGCUGAAGCAAUGUUUGAGAAGCUUGGGCUCCCUAAACCAAUCUACCAUGUGCAUUGACUUGAGCAAGGUGAUGUAAAGCAGAAAUUGAAUUCCAUUGUACGAAAGAACGUUUCCAUGCUUCAGCAUGCCGGGCUAAACUGAAAACUCGUGUAUGCGAGGAUGAGGAGACAUCAAUGAAUCUUGCAGCCGAUCUGGCCAUUGAAUACAUGGAAAACAAAGAGAACAAAGUACUUGUUGAUUACAAUUAUUACCAACUGGAGCAAAAUAAAAAGACAUGUGCAAGAGUAUCAGACAAGCUGCUAGAAAAAUCAGAGGAUAUCAACCAACGCAGCAACAAAAUCAAACUGAUAACUAAAGAGGCAUGCAACUAUGUGGAUGAAGUGCGUGCUGCAUCAAAUAAAAUCCAUUGUCUUACUGGUGUUGCCUUGGACCCAACUACCUCAAUGUCCGUCUCUAAUCUGAGGCAGGCUCUCCUGGUGAUUCAUGAUGCAGUAAUUGCACUGCAAAACACUACAACCACAGCAUCUCAGUUCCUGGAGGAAGAAGGCAUGUACUCUGAUGAGGACGUGGCUGAUCCAGUAUACACUGGGCAUUCUGAUGAAGAUUCUGCUGAAGAUUGCCAUCCAGACAUGAACGACGACUACGCUCAUUAUAUGCGAUAUCCAUGAGCAUCAUGUUCAGCCUGCUGAGCUAUCUGAUCGCCAUAUGAAGCUCUAUAUGUAUAGCUUCACUAUGAUGGGUUGCUUCUGUUAGGCGGGAACCAGUGUGGUUCUUACGUUCAAUCUCCAUGUUUAGUCUCCUGUGUUAGUUAAAUAAGAUAUGAAGCUCUGUCUUAUAGCUUCACCUUAGAAAUCUGUCUCCUUUUCGAACUGUACUCUCAUCAUGCAUAAGUAUUGAAUUCAUCGUGCUGUGCUAAGACAAUGUAAUUUAUCUAUGUUGUAUGUUUGCUUUUACCCACUGAGAAACUUCCUCUCAGUACCAUCGCUAUGCACCUGCAUUAACUUGCUUUAUUCUCCCGAGACUAAAUCAGUGCGCACAAUCAUUUGGUCUUCUAGCUCAGCUCUACUUGCUACUCAGCCGGUCAGAAGCAAACCUAUUUCCUUAUCGAUUCACUCUCACUAAAGAUAAUCUUAUGGAGAAAAGCAAAUGCUGGCCAUUCGACCUACCAACAGGUACAUAAAUUUACUGAUGCUAUACCAGAUACCAUUUAAACAGCCACACAUAUAUGCUUAUCUUUGUGGUCUUCUAACAGUUUUAUAUUUACUACAGCCGAUCAGUUGAGCACCUGGAUGAUAACAAAAAAGUGCUUGUUCACUGACCUUUCUUCUUCACAAGGUUUUCUAAGCAGAGUUGAGCACAAGACAAGAGAAAUUUUGGUGCUGUACAAAACUCUUGUGUUAUAUAGGCAGGAGCAUAGCACAAAUUGUAUUACGUAAGGACAAUCGCACAUACACUCAAUCUAUGCAUGAAUAUUUUGAUACACACUCUAACAGUACCUCCCUUGCUCUCGCCCCUUGCGCCAUUGGCGCAACUGGUCAUCUAGUAGAUAGAAAAACUGAAACAUAUAAAGAAACCCGGUGGCUAUCAUUCAAGGCAACCUCUCAACAUGUGCAGAUAGAUGCACCAACAUAUAUGCAAAGCGAGCCUGUCUUUAUACGCUGGAUUCCUCGUCUGCUGUGAUGAUAACCGUGGAACAUGUUCGCUAAUAGUCAUGUGCCUUCGAGAAAUCUGAAUCUGAAGAAAACUGUAUCAAAGAGGUGCAUUACUUGGGUAGAAAUCUGAAUCUAACUUAAAAAUCAAGCAGCAAAUGGGAUUCCUGGAGGAGAUACCAUACAUUGGAGAAGAAAUC
rnacentral:rRNA from 1 species